UCCUCUGACGUUAACGGCGGACGGGUGAGUAACACGUGGAUAACCUACCUAUAAGACUGGGAUAACUUCGGGAAACCGGAGCUAAUACCGGAUAAUAUAUUGAACCGCAUGGUUCAAUAGUGAAAGACGGUUUUGCUGUCACUUAUAGAUGGAUCCGCGCCGCAUUAGCUAGUUGGUAAGGUAACGGCUUACCAAGGCAACGAUGCGUAGCCGACCUGAGAGGGUGAUCGGCCACACUGGAACUGAGACACGGUCCAGACUCAUACGGGAGGCAGCAGUAGGGAAUCUUCCGCAAUGGGCGAAAGCCUGACGGAGCAACGCCGCGUGAGUGAUGAAGGUCUUCGGAUCGUAAAACUCUGUUAUUAGGGAAGAACAAAUGUGUAAGUAACUAUGCACGUCUUGACGGUACCUAAUCAGAAAGCCACGGCUAACUACGUGCCAGCAGCCGCGGUAAUACGUAGGUGGCAAGCGUUAUCCGGAAUUAUUGGGCGUAAAGCGCGCGUAGGCGGUUUUUUAAGUCUGAUGUGAAAGCCCACGGCUCAACCGUGGAGGGUCAUUGGAAACUGGAAAACUUGAGUGCAGAAGAGGAA
rnacentral:rRNA from 1 species